rnacentral:rRNA from 1 species
UGGUGACUAUAGCAAGGAGGUCACACCUGUUCCCAUGCCGAACACAGAAGUUAAGCUCCUUAGCGUCGAUGGUAGUCGAACUUACGUUCCGCU